rnacentral:tRNA from 2 species
GGGUGUGUAGCUCAGUGGUAGAGCACUUCACUGAUAAUGAAGAGGCCGAAGGUUCGAUCCCUUCCACACCCACCA